rnacentral:rRNA from 1 species
UGAGCAACCUGCCCUUGACUCUGGAAUAACAGCUGGAAACAGCUGCUAAUACCGGAUACGACCUCCGAUGGCAUCAUCUGGAGGUGGAAAGCUCCGACGGUCAAGGAUGGGCUCGCGGCCUAUCAGCUUGUUGGUGAGGUAACGGCUCACCAAGGCUUCGACGGGUAGCCGGCUGAGAGGGUGACCGGCCACACUGGGACUGAGACACGGCCCAGACCUCUACGGGAGG